rnacentral:rRNA from 1 species
CAGUCGAACGGGAAAUAUUUCAUUGAGACUUCGGUGGAUUUGAUCUAUUUCUACUGUCGGACGGGUGAGUAACGCGUGGGUAACCUGCCUUAUACAGGGGGAUAACAGUCAGAAAUGGCUGCUAAUACCGCAUAAGCGCACAGAGCUGCAUGGCUCAGUGUGAAAAACUCCGGUGGUAUAAGAUGGACCCGCGUUGGAUUAGCUUGUUGGUGGGGUAACGGCCCACCAAGGCGACGAUCCAUAGCCGGCCUGAGAGGGUGAACGGCCACAUUGGGACUGAGACACGGCCCAGACUCCUACGGGAGGCAGCAGUGGGGAAUAUUGCACAAUGGGGGAAACCCUGAUGCAGCGACGCCGCGUGAAGGAAGAAGUAUCUCGGUAUGUAAACUUCUAUCAGCAGGGAAGAUAGUGACGGUACCUGACUAAGAAGCCCCGGCUAACUACGUGCCAGCAGCCGCGGUAAUACGUAGGGGGCAAGCGUUAUCCGGAUUUACUGGGUGUAAAGGGAGCGUAGACGGUGUGGCAAGUCUGAUGUGAAAGGCAUGGGCUCAACCUGUGGACUGCAUUGGAAACUGUCAUACUUGAGUGCCGGAGGGGUAAGCGGAAUUCCUAGUGUAGCGGUGAAAUGCGUAGAUAUUAGGAGGAACACCAGUGGCGAA